rnacentral:rRNA from 1 species
UACGUAGGUGGCAAGCGUUGUCCGGAAUUAUUGGGCGUAAAGCGCGCGCAGGCGGCUUCUUAAGUCUGAUGUGAAAUCUCGGGGCUCAACCCCGAGCGGCCAUUGGAAACUGGGAAGCUUGAGUACAGAAGAGGAGAGUGGAAUUCCACGUGUAGCGGUGAAAUGCGUAGAUAUGUGGAGGAACACCAGUGGCGAAGGCGACUCUCUGGUCUGUAACUGACGCUGAGGCGCGAAAAGCGUGGGGGAGCAAACAGG